rnacentral:rRNA from 1 species
GACGUAGGGCGCGAGCGUUGUCCGGAUUUAUUGGGCGUAAAGAGCUCGUAGGCGGCUUGUCGCGUCGACUGUGAAAACCCGCGGCUCAACUGCGGCCUGCAGCCGAUACGGGCAGGCUAGAGUUCGGUAGGGGAGACUGGAAUUCCUGGUGUAGCGGUGAAAUGCGCAGAUAUCAGGAGGAACACCGGUGGCGAAGGCGGGUCUCUGGGCCGAGUACUGACGCUGAGGAGCGGAAAGCGUGGGGAGCGAACAGG